rnacentral:misc_RNA from 1 species
AACGCACAUUGCGCCCUUUGGUAUUCCGAAGGGCAUGCCUGUUCGAGCGUCAUUGCAAAACCUCAAGCACCGCUUGGUCUUGGGCGCCGGUCCCCGUGGACCCGCCCGUAACCUGUUGGCGGCACCGUCCGGCUCUAAGCGUAGCAAGAAUCUUCCCUCGCUUCGGAGCUCGCGGCGGCGCCUGCCGGGAAAGCAAAGCAACCUCGUAGUUUGACCUCGGAUCAGGUAGGGAUACCCGCUGAACUUAA